UGUGUGCCAUAUUUGUAGGCGAUUGAGAGAAAAAUAAUUAUACUGUACUAUUAAAAUAUCUACAUUGAAAGAAUGAAAUUGAUCACAUAAUUUUUUUGUUGUCUAAAACAAUAGUUCUCAACCUGGGUAAUGUUUAGAGGUCACAUCUAGGAAUGCAAUGAACAAUUGGCCACUUAUGGCAAAACUGAACCAGGAGAACAACCAUACAAGUGGCUAGUAUUAUCCUAUGAAAUUAAAGGGAAUGUAAUAAUUAUGGUUAAAAUAAUUAAAUAUAAAAUAUUUAGAUGUGGAUAUAAAUUGAUUGAUAAAAACAAUUAAAUUAAAGUUAUUUAAAAAGAUUGCAAACUCUGGCCUAAAAGCACUCACUUUCCAUGAUCUAACAAAAUUAUUAAUACAAACGAGUUUUAGAGCUACAGUAGUAUCCUAUAUUGGUAAAUCUGGAAUAGUUGAGGCAUAUUCAAUGUUAAUUUUUUUUUAUUUUUAUUUUUUUUACAGGACUGUUCAUGGGCAAGAAAACUUGACAGACUGUUGACAAUGUAUCACAUUGUGAUUUUUGAAAAAACUAAUGAAGUAGAAGUGGUGCCUUCCAAUUGGGUCAAAGAAAAUGAAUGUAUGUGGCCACCAAAUAAAGUGGAUGUUGUAAAAGCCACAAAAAAUAAGGAGCAACCUGGGGAAGGAUGGACUCCACACAGGGUCAGAAUUAUAUUUACAUCGAGUAAGUAUUACUUUAUAGAUUGUGUGUUGAAAUGUUUCAGAUACAUUGGCCAUAUAUAUAUAUAUAUAUAUAAGAACCUACUUUUUCCUGGAGAAGAUGAGGAUGAAGAAAUCAAUGUUGAUCAGUCAAAAGAUAAUGCAAAGAAAAGAAAAGAAGAACUGCCUAGAGCUCCGAAGAUCUUUCACUCAUUUUCUUCUGACUCCCAAAGGAUGCAGAAGACUGGAUCUACUCAGAAGUCUGUGUUGGCCAAAUCUAAGCCAACAAAAUUUUUACCAAAUAUCCCUCCUAAUUCCCAAAGUCAUCAUACUUCUAAUGUACCUAAGAGGACCCACACACAUUCUGACCAGUCUCGAAGAAACCAUGCAACUGCUGAUCCACUUGAGAGGAACCGCAUUAACCCUGACCCGCUUCAGAGAAGCCGCACUUCUAACCAGCUUCAGAGAUUCCACACAAGCUGUACUUCUCCCAACUUGUCUGACAAUGAUUGCACUCCACCUGACCUGCUUCAGAGAUUCCAUGCUUCCCCUGAUUCACGACCGAGAAAUAGUGCAACUACUGAGCCAUUUCAGAAGGUCCAGACUUCCUCUGAUCCACUUCGAAGUGGCCACAAAACUUCAGACGCAGUUCAGAGAGGCCGCAAUUCCCCUGAUCCGCUUCAGAGAAGCCACACAACUGCUGAGCCGUUUCAGAAAGUCCACACUUCCCCUGACCCGCUUCAAAGAAACCAUGCAAAUGCUGACCCGUUCCAAAGAAGCAACACUUCCCCUGACCUGCUUCAGAGAAGCUGUAUUUCUCCUGACUUGUUUGAGAUAGAUUAUACUCUCCCUGACCCUUUUCAGAGAAGUCACUCUCCCCCUGACCCACUGCAAAGAAGCUGCAUUUCCCCUGAUCGGCAUCAGAGAGGGAUUGUUUAUCACCAGCCACAAGGACUAUUAAGACAUCAAGCUGUUCUUGAUACUUCCCUCCUGCGUAACAUUCUCACAAAUCAAGAGAUCAUGAUGGACCAAAUGAAGAUAAUCUAUAGGACAGUUCAGGGUCUAAAAUCUGUCAGUGAAGAAGACAUAGGCCUUGAAGCAAACCUACUGCCAGUAGCUGAUCUUCAGUCUCUGCAAAACUUGGAGUAGCAAUUGAGAAAAUUUCCUGACUUUCAAAAGCAAUUGAUAAGCAUGUUGGCAAUGAAAGGUGGGACAGACACCAGAGAUGGAGUUUGGAGAAUAAUGACAGCAACAAUCACAAACUCCCUGGCCAAGAAUAUAAAUAUGCGUGGUGUUAAUGGGAAGAUCAGCUUUAAAAGCUUGCAGUUACGAAACAUUGUUCUUGGUAAGUCUGUUGUGAGCAUGACCACUUUUUUUAAAAAAAAAAUCUAAUUAAUUUAAAAUUGUACAGUCUAAAACAUGUUUUUGUAUGCCCAGUACUUCAAUUUCUACAACUGUUAUUUUAAAACUGUAUCAUAAUAUAAAGUUUAAAUUGACCAAUGCAAUAAGUAAGCAACUGUUUAAGAUUAUUAAAUGCAUUUUUUUUGGGGUGAAAAUAAGAUGUUAUGCUUUGAAUGCGUUACAUUAUCAGUACUUCAACGGUUCAUUGGUUACUGUUUACACCACAGUUUCCAUAUAUAAACAUUUUUAAGGUUUUUGUUUCCUAAAAUGGUCUUGUUUGUUAAAAUACUGUUGUCAAAGUCUGACAAGCCAGUUAGUCAAUCAAUAGUGCCACAUAAGCAAUCAUUUCCUGUAUAAAAUGUAACCAAAGCAACCUUAUUUUAAUUUGUUACCUACAUUUAUGUACAGUAGGUGGAUGAAUGUUUCUAUAUGUAUGUUAAUUUUGUAUUAUUAAUUUAGUAUUUUGUCUUUUAGCUGCUGUGAGAAAAAAUCGCCUCACACAACAUGCCACCGAUCAGGAGAUUGAAUCAACCAUUCAAAGAUGGCUUCAGCUUGCUCCUGAUCAAGAUGGAGGAAGGAGAGAGCGCUUAAGGAAAAAAGAGGCCCAAAUAGGAUCACUUUCUCCCACACACGCACAUUCUGAUGUGUAAAUUGUUUUAAUUUGCUAUAUGUUUGUUUAGAGUAAAUUAGAUUAUAAUGUUCAAAUUUCAGUACUAGAUUUCUUUUAGAUUCAUUUAGUUAGGUAGUUCAUAUAGCGUUCACACAGUUGCACAACUCUAGCUGU
ensembl:lncRNA